AUGGCCUCUACAUGCAUCUCGAUGCUUGCGAUUGUCUUCACACUGAGUGGGCUGAGAGCUCAGUCGGUGUCUCAGCCAGAUCAGGUCACUGUUGCUGAAGGGGAUCCAGUGACUGUGAAAUGCAACUAUUCGGUUUCUGGAAGCCUGUAUCUCUUUUGGUACAUCCAACAUCGCAACCAAGGUCUCCGGUUCCUUCUGAAAUACAUCACAGGGGCCAACCUGGUCAAAGGCAACUACGGUUUUGAGGCUGAAUUUAAUAAGAGCCAAACCUCUUUCCACCUGAAGAAACCAUCCGUCCUUGGGAGUGACUCUGCUGUGUAUUUCUGUGCGGUGACAGACACAGUGGUGGGGGCUGGAGGCGGAGCUGAGCACAAACCCCCGAGUACCACAGUGAAACUGUUUUCCUGA